AGCGAACGCUGGCGGCAGGCCUAACACAUGCAAGUCGAACGAACUCUUCGGAGUUAGUGGCGGACGGGUGAGUAACACGUGGGAACGUGCCUUUAGGUUCGGAAUAACUCAGGGAAACUUGUGCUAAUACCGAAUGUGCCCUUCGGGGGAAAGAUUUAUCGCCUUUAGAGCGGCCCGCGUCUGAUUAGCUAGUUGGUGAGGUAAAGGCUCACCAAGGCGACGAUCAGUAGCUGGUCUGAGAGGAUGAUCAGCCACAUUGGGACUGAGACACGGCCCAAACUCCUACGGGAGGCAGCAGUGGGGAAUCUUGCGCAAUGGGCGAAAGCCUGACGCAGCAUGCCGCGUGAAUGAUGAAGGUCUUAGGAUUGUAAAAUUCUUUCACCGGGGACGAUAAUGACGGUACCCGGAGAAGAAGCCCCGGCUAACUUCGUG
rnacentral:rRNA from 1 species